rnacentral:rRNA from 1 species
AUGAACGCUGGCGGCGUGCUUAACACCUGCAAGUCGAACGAUGAAGCCCAGCUUGCUGGGUGGAUUAGUGGCGAACGGGUGAGUAACACGUGAGUAACCUGCCCUUGACUCUGGGAUAAGCCUGGGAAACUGGGUCUAAUACUGGAUAUGACUUCUCAUCGCAUGGUGGGGGGUGGAAAGAUUUAUUGGUCUUGGAUGGACUCGCGGCCUAUCAGCUUGUUGGUGAGGUAAUGGCUCACCAAGGCGACGACGGGUAGCCGGCCUGAGAGGGUGACCGGCCACACUGGGACUGAGACACGGCCCAGACUCCUACGGGAGGCAGCAGUGGGGAAUAUUGCACAAUGGGCGCAAGCCUGAUGCAGCGACGCCGCGUGAGGGAUGACGGCCUUCGGGUUGUAAACCUCUUUCAGUAGGGAAGAAGCGAGAGUGACGGUACCUGCAGAAGAAGCGCCGGCUAACUACGUG